rnacentral:rRNA from 1 species
UACGUAGGGUGCGAGCGUUAAUCGGAAUUACUGGGCGUAAAGCGUGCGCAGGCGGCCAUGCAAGACAGAUGUGAAAUCCCCGGGCUCAACCUGGGAACUGCAUUUGUGACUGCACAGCUGGAGUGCGGCAGAGGGGGAUGGAAUUCCGCGUGUAGCAGUGAAAUGCGUAGAUAUCGUGAGGAACACCGGUGGCGAAGGCGGCAUCCUGGACCAACACUGACGCUGAGGAGCGAAAGCCAGGGGAGCAAACGGG